AUUAAAAUAAGAUACCUUAGGGAUAACAGCAUAAUAAAUUUGUAAAGUUCAUUUAUAUAAAUUUGAUUGUGACCUCGAUGUUGAAUUAAUCUGGAAUUCUGGGGCAGAAGAUAGAAUUUUAGAUUAAUUCAACAUCGAGGUCACAAUCAAUUUAUAUAAUUAUGAACUUUACAAGUUUAUUAUGCUGUUAUCCCUAAGGUAUCUUAUUUUAAUAAUCCUAAAUUAAGUUUCAAAUAUACAU